rnacentral:rRNA from 1 species
GAAAAGAAACCAACAGGGAUUGCCCUAGUAACGGCGAGUGAAGCGGCAACAGCUCAAAUUUGAAAUCUGGCCCUAGGCCCGAGUUGUAAUUUGCAGAGGAUGCUUUUGGCAAAGCGCUUACCGAGUCCCCUGGAACGGGGCGCCACAGAGGGUGAGAGCCCCGUAUGGUAUGACGCCGAGCCUCUGUAAAGCUCCUUCGACGAGUCGAGUAGUUUGGGAAUGCUGCUCUAAAUGGGAGGUAAAUUUCUUCUAAAGCUAAAUACCGGCCAGAGACCGAUAGCGCACAAGUAGAGUGAUCGAAAGAUGAAAAGCACUUUGAAAAGAGGGUUAAAUAGCACGUGAAAUUGUUGAAAGGGAAGCGCUCGUGACCAGACUUGCGCCGGGCGGAUCAUCCAGCGUUCUCGCUGGUGCACUCCGCCCGGCUCAGGCCAGCAUCGGUUUUCGCCGGGGGACAAAAGCUUCGGGAACGUGGCUCCCUUCGGGGAGUGUUAUAGCCCGUUGCUUAAUACCCCGGCGGGGACCGAGGACCGCGCUUCGGCAAGGAUGCUGGCGUAAUGGUCAUCAGCGACCCGUCUUGAAACACGGACCGAGGAGUCAAGCAUUAGUGCGAGUGUUUGGGUGUAAAACCCGCACGCGUAAUGAAAGUGAACGUAGGUGAGAGCUUCGGCGCAUCAUCGACCGAUCCUGAUGUUUUCGGAUGGAUUUGAGUAGGAGCAUUAACGCUUGGACCCGAAAGAUGGUGAACUAUACUUGAAUAGGGUGAAGCCAGAGGAAACUCUGGUGGAGGCUCGCAGCGGUUCUGACGUGCAAAUCGAUCGUCAAAUUUGAGUAUAGGGGCGAAAGACUAAUCGAACCAUCUAGUAGCUGGUUACCGCCGAAG